rnacentral:sRNA from 1 species
GCUCUGGCAAAUAGGUGAACUACCGAGGCCAGAUGGUGAGCCUGAUCCGGAUGCGGAACCCCUGGGGCGAGGUGGAGUGGACGGGAGCCUGGAGCGACAGCUCCUCAGAGUGGAACAACGUGGACCCAUAUGAACGGGACCAGCUACGGGUCAAGAUGGAGGACGGGGAGUUCUGGAUGUCAUUCCGAGACUUCAUGCGGGAGUUCACCCGCCUGGAGAUCUGCAACCUCACACCCGACGCCCUCAAGAGCCGGACCAUCCGCAAAUGGAACACCACACUCUACGAAGGCACCUGGCGGCGGGGGAGCACCGCGGGGGGCUGCCGGAACUACCCAGCCACCUUCUGGGUGAACCCUCAGUUCAAGAUCCGGCUGGAUGAGACGGAUGACCCGGACGACUACGGGGACCGCGAGUCAGGCUGCAGCUUCGUGCUCGCCCUUAUGCAGAAGCACCGUCGCCGCGAGCGCCGCUUCGGCCGCGACAUGGAGACUAUUGGCUUCGCGGUCUACGAGGUCCCUCCGGAGGUAGGUGUGGCACCAUGACCCACCUGCAGUCACACACCCCUGAUGGUGCCAGAGGGGAGCAGCCCAGUGGCAAACCCACCCUGGCCUGGAGAGCUAAGAAGUCACCUUGUUUCACUGCCUGAAAAAUGCUUCUCCCCACCUGUUCAGUGGGCAGAGCAAACAUUGCUCUCCUGAGGGUCAGCACAGGUAGUCAGUGAGGGAGCUGGAUUUGAGCCCUGGUCCUCAGAGCCCCUGUCUGACAUGUACACACGAGGCUUUUCCUGCCUUGCCAUCUAUACCAAGUAAGUGCCAACUAGGGCGGUCCAGCAAUGUCAGGAGCAGGGCAUUAGACAGGCUGAGAGUUCUGUACCCUUG